UACGUAGGGGGCAAGCGUUGUCCGGAAUCAUUGGGCGUAAAGCGCGUGUAGGCGGUCCGGUAAGUCCGCUGUGAAAGUCGGGGGCUCAACCCUCGGAUGCCGGUGGAUACUGUCGGGCUUGAGUACGGAAGAGGCGAGUGGAAUUCCUGGUGUAGCGGUGAAAUGCGCAGAUAUCAGGAGGAACACCAAUUGCGAAGGCAGCUCGCUGGGACGUUACUGACGCUGAGGCGCGAAAGCGUGGGGAGCGAACAGG
rnacentral:rRNA from 1 species